CGAGUCGAGAGGGUUCGGCCCUCGGCGCAUCGCUCAGUAACACGCGGACAAUCUGCCCUAAGGUGGGGAAUAAUCUCGGGAAACUGAGGCUAAUACCCCAUAGGUCACCUCUGCUGGAAUGCUUGGUGGUCGAAAGUUCCGACGCCUUAGGAUGAGUCUGCGGCCUAUCAGGUAGUAGUGAGGGUAACGUCCUCACUAGCCUUCGACGGGUACGGGCGUUGAGAGACGUCGCCCGGAGAUGAUCUCUGAGACACGAGAUCAGGCCCUACGGGGCGCAGCAGGCGCGAAAACUUCACAAUGUGGGAAACCACGAUGAGGGGAACCCAAGUGUCUGCACCAUGUGUAGACUUUUCCGUAGUCUAAACAACUAUGGGAAUAAGGGCUGGGUAAGACGGGUGCCAGCCGCCGCGGUAAUACCUGCAGCCCAAGUGGUGCUCGUUUUUAUUGGGCCUAAAACGUCCGUAGCCGGGUUGUUAAAUGCCUGGGUAAAUCGUGUCGCUUAACGAUACGAAUUCCAGGUAGACUGGCAGCCUCGGGACCGGGAGAGGUCAGAGGUACGUCAG
rnacentral:rRNA from 1 species